rnacentral:piRNA from 3 species
GGCCGAGUGGUUAAGGCGUUGGACU